AGAGUUUGAUCCUGGCUCAGAUUGAACGCUGGCGGCAUGCCUUACACAUGCAAGUCGAACGGCAGCGGGCCUUCGGGUGCCGGCGAGUGACGAACGGGUGAGUAAUGCAUCGGAACGUGCCAUUGAGUGGGGAUAACGUAGCGAAAGUUACGCUAAUACCGCAUAUUCUGUGAGCAGGAAAGCAGGGGACCGCAAGGCCUUGCGCUCUUUGGGCGGCCGAUGUCAGAUUAGCUAGUUGGUGAGGUAAAGGCUUACCAAGGCGACGAUCUGUAGCGGGUCUGAGAGGAUGAUCCGCCACACUGGAACUGAGACACGGUCCAGACUCCUACGGGAGGCAGCAGUGGGGAAUUUUGGACAAUGGGCGCAAGCCUGAUCCAGCCAUGCCGCGUGAGUGAAGAAGGCCUUCGGGUUGUAAAGCUCUUUCGGCCGGGAAGAAAUCGCAUGGGUUAAUACCCUGUGUGGAUGACGGUACCGGAAUAAGAAGCACCGGCUAACUACGUG
rnacentral:rRNA from 1 species